UUCUUUCUGGUUUUGUCACUGGUGAUGACGGGAUGCUUCUUCUGGCAGUACCAGCUGCCCAAACUUCUGCCAGAUGAAGGAAUGGGUCGCAACGCCAAAGCAGAGAUGAUUUGUCCUCGGUUCCCCGAGGCUCUCCAGCUGGAGCAUCCUAUCGCCAGCCUGAAAGAGGCCCUGGAAAAGGUGGACGUUUUGCUUCGUCAGAGCAU